UAAGACAGCUAUCAGCAACGGCGGCAGCUGAGGGCUGGUGCUCCCUCCAGCAGGCGGGAACUGUCCCCUGAACUGCCGCUGCGAAAUUUCAUCAAGUCCUCUGGCAGUGCCCUUUGCAUUUUACACCUGCUUUCCUACUGCCUUCAAAGGACUUCCGGAGCAGUUCUCCAGCAGCAUAGUCCAGAGCACCUGCAAUAUUUCGUAGUCAGUCAGAGGAGCAGCCAGUUUUUUACUGUUGUUCCACUGGAGGCACAGUUUUUGAGUGAACGUAGGAGGCAGAAGAAACAGAAAUGGGUAAGUACAAGAAAAGGUUUUGCUAUCAAAGGUUUUACUCAGUGUAACUGAGUAUAGUUUAAUUGUAGGAUCGCUACAGCAAAAUCUCUGUAAAAUGCUGAAAACAAGUGAACAGUACUCUCACAAUCCUACAGCCUUUCAAAAUGCUUUUUUCCUUUUAACAGCAUUACCCAAUUUUGCAUUUUCCACAAAUACUAAAUGUAUUCAUUGUGUGUAUUUUGGCUGUUAUGUCUAGCUACAGAUGUAUUCAAAUAAAAAGGGAGGUGAAUUUUUGUAAGUAUGCUUU
rnacentral:lncRNA from 1 species